AGUGAACGCUGGCGGUAGGCCUAACACAUGCAAGUCGAACGGCAGCACAGUAAGAGCUUGCUCUUACAGGUGGCGAGUGGCGGACGGGUGAGGAAUACAUCGGAAUCUACUUUGUCGGGGGGGAUAACGUAGGGAAACUGACGAUAAUACCGCAUACGACCUACGGGUGAAAGCAGGGGAUCUUCGGACCUUGGGCGAUUGAAUGAGCCGAUGUCGGAUUAGCUAGUUGGCGGGGUAAAGGCACACCAAGGCGACGAUCCGUAGCUGGUCUGAGAGGAUGAUCAGCCACACUGGAACUGAGACACGGUCCAGACUCCUACGGGAGGCAGCAGUGGGGAAUAUUGGACAAUGGGCGCAAGCCUGAUCCAGCCAUACCGCGUGAGUGAAGAAGGCCUUCGGGUUGUAAAGCCCUUUUGUUGGGAAAGAACAGCAGCAGGUUAAUCCCCCGCUGUUCUGACGGUACCCAAAGAAUAAGCACCGGCUAACUUCGUG
rnacentral:rRNA from 1 species